rnacentral:rRNA from 1 species
CAGCCGCCGCGGGAAAACGAAGGGGGCUAGCGUUGUUCGGAAUUACUGGGCGUAAAGCGCACGUAGGCGGACAUUUAAGUCAGGGGUGAAAUCCCGGGGCUCAACCCCGGAACUGCCUUUGAUACUGGGUGUCUAGAGUAUGGAAGAGGUGAGUGGAAUUCCGAGUGUAGAGGUGAAAUUCGUAGAUAUUCGGAGGAACACCAGUGGCGAAGGCGGCUCACUGGUCCAUUACUGACGCUGAGGUGCGAAAGCGUGGGGAGCAAACAGGAUUAGAUACCCCGGUAGUCCCUGUCUCUUAUAC